rnacentral:rRNA from 1 species
AGAGUUUGAUCCUGGCUCAGAACGAACGCUGGCGGCAUGCCUAACACAUGCAAGUCGAACGAGACCUUCGGGUCUAGUGGCGCACGGGUGCGUAACGCGUGGGAAUCUGCCCUUUGCUUCGGAAUAACAGUUAGAAAUGACUGCUAAUACCGGAUGAUGUCUUCGGACCAAAGAUUUAUCGGCAAAGGAUGAGCCCGCGUAGGAUUAGGUAGUUGGUGGGGUAAAGGCCUACCAAGCCGACGAUCCUUAGCUGGUCUGAGAGGAUGAUCAGCCACACUGGGACUGAGACACGGCCCAGACUCCUACGGGAGGCAGCAGUGGGGAAUAUUGGACAAUGGGCGCAAGCCUGAUCCAGCAAUGCCGCGUGAGUGAUGAAGGCCUUCGGGUCGUAAAGCUCUUUUACCAGGGAUGAUAAUGACAGUACCUGGAGAAUAAGCUCCGGCUAACUCCGUGCCAGCAGCCGCGGUAAUACGGAGGGAGCUAGCGUUGUUCGGAAUUACUGGGCGUAAAGAGUACGUAGGCGGUUAUUCAAGUCAGAGGUGAAAGCCCGGGG